CCUUGUUCCUUAUUCUGGAACAAUUAUAAUUGUAACUAUAACUGGUUAUGCUUAAUUUCUUUUACUUUUCUUUGCAAAUUUAUCAACUUUGCACUCACAGGCCACUUUUUUUUUUUUUACUCGCAUGUAGUAUUUCUUAUAGAAAAACCCCUGCCUUGGCAUUUUCAACCCUUGUUCUACUUCUUACUGACAUCUUUCAUUCCUUUUUUUUUAUUUCAGUGCUGACUUUUAAAAACAAAAACAAUAUACCAGAUCAUGUGCUGUGGCAGAUGGGGACAGCCUUUUUCAUCUAAUGAUCAGAAAGUCACAUUGCAAUUUGCCCAAAUGGAAUGUUGGAGGAGAAGUUGACAAUCAGCCUAGAAAAAUUUGUGAGGGCUUCUCAAAUUGCAGAACUAUGCCUUGACUUCAGAUCCACAUAAUGUGUGUUGCAGCAUCCUGAAUGGUGUGCAUUUUCCCAUUGGCUAAUGAUGUGCUAAUGGGGCAGCAACAAAGUCAGAAGAGAAAACCAAUCAGCAUGCCUAUAACAUCUGUGGACCUGCAAAUCUGGCCAAUGAGUCUUACAUCAGAGAUAAGACAGAUAGUUGAUGUUGACACAAGAAGGAUUGGUUAAUGCCUUACAUCAUUAGUGGGAAAAUGGCAUGAGAUAUUGCCAAUAAGGAACUUGGAGCCACAUUUCUUCUUCUCUCUCCACUGCCAAAAGAAGACCAAGGAUUGCAGGGUGUCUAGCUUCGACACCAAACCCAGCCAGAAACCUAAAAACCAGAUCCUGCAAGAGAAAGGGAUGUCUCCCCAGCUCCAUCCUGGCUUGUCUGAAUGGGCAACUAUUUAUUUGCUACAUUGCACAGGAGUCCGUGUUUUUUCUCCCUGGCUUUUGUCAUGAGUUAAAACUCCCAGAAAUAAAACAUCCACCCACAUUUU